UUCCGAAGAUGAACGAAGGUCUUACAGGUGUGGGACGACAUGAGGAUGUGUAAUUAAUGACAGAAUUUUCAUUUUUGGGUGAACUAACAUUUUAACAAUUCGAAGAAACAUUUUACACUAUAAAGAACCUUCUGUGUAUUGAAAAGGUUUAAUGAAUGUUAAAGGUUCUUCAUGAACAACAGACGCCAAUAAAGAACCUUUAUUUAACCUAAUGUUAUUUUGUGUUUCAGUGAUGACAGAAAGUCUUAGAAUAACAUUAAAAAGUGAGUAGAUGAUGACAGAAUUUAAGCAGAAAUAUACCACCAAUAUCAUGCUUAACCGGGAUGUGUGUGGAAACGUGCUCUGUUUGUGGAUUCCUCAGUGCAGAUGUGUCAGAUCAUUGAAGAUCUGCCCCAUGAAAGAGGUUUAUUUAUUUACGUGGCUGGAUUUCACUGUGUCUUUUGUGAAAGUGGCCAUGGCUAGCAGUGAAGUCUGUCGCUGUGCCCACUGCAGCUGCUGUGGCUUUCCUCUGCGGACACUACUACACAAUAGACAGCUUUGUACCACCGGUCCUCGGCUUCAAUGAGAUGUGAACAUUGAUAUGCUUUUAAAAAGAAAAAAAUGAUCAUUCUUUUAACGUCAAAUGUCAAAAAUGUGUAUAUUAAAACAUGCAAUAUGUUGCAUGUAUGCAUGUAUCUUGUAUCUACUGGAGAAGCCAUCUUAAAUGAGGUCUCACUCAAAAGCGAAAAAAAAACCCCAACAACUCAAUUUCAUAAAAGCAUAAUGAUAUAGAGUAGGGCUUGGCCAUAUAUUACAUAUAUAUUACAUAUAGAUAUUUGAUUUCGAUGUUAUAAAAUCAUGAAUAUCGUGAUCAUUUCAAUUAACCUGAAAUCAGAUACUUAAAGACUGUGCUGGUUGACCAAUUUCUCACCCUGAGGUUUAUAUUUUGUCAGUUACUGACAAAAUAUACAGUAAAAUAUAUAUUUUACUCUAACCAGAAUCACUUGAAUGCACACCACAUUUUCAUAACUUCCAAAUUUGUCAGUUUGAACUUCUGUAAUAUGCCUAAAUGGAACAUCAGUCCUUUUUGGGCAAACUAAAUUGUUCCAUAUGGUAAACUGAAAUCCCAACAGCAUUUAAUUAAAUGAUUAAGAAUUAUAAGUAAUUAUUGACUUCUUAGAUGCAAUACCCUGCACUGUACCCACAACCAAACCUCUCUUCAUCCCAGAGCUGUGGUCUAUGUAGCACGUGUGUGUAAAAGUCAUUUAGAUCUGUCUCACGUUGAGAGGGUUGAAGGUCUGAGCUCUGAUCUCACAGCAGAGCUUUGACCUGCUGCGCUGAGAUGAGAAGAGUCUGUUGUUUAACAUCUGACAGCUGGAAAAAUGGGCCGAGCAUAAAAUAUCAACUAUGUGUUUAUCUUUAGAGAUUGAAUUCUAGAAAAUGCUUAAUCGUUCAUACACCAACUUGGUUAGCUGACUCAUUCAAGAGUUCAAUAUCUGUGGUCUUUAAAUGCAGAAUGCAUGAUUGUCUCCCUCUAGCACAAACACAACUGGUGUCAAACCUGCUUUAAAUCAGUAAUGCCUAAUUAAACAGGUGGAUUCUUUGUUUAAAUCUUGUUUAAAUUUUGCGACACCUGAUCAUUUACAGGUACUGUAGCAUUUGUUCUAAGAGGCAGGGCUUACAACACGAGGAAUGAAAAUUUGCAUUAUCUUUUUUAAAACCAUACAGCAAUAUAAAAAUAUGACUUCCUCCACAUUGUGAGAUCACUGUGGAACCUAUUAGCACACAACUGCCUCCACAGCAACACAUCAUGGCUACUUUAGCAUUAUUGUGAUUUCACAUAUAUAACGAUAUCCUGUCUCCAUAUGGACUUUGCCACAGUUGGUCACAAGAUUCUGCUUGACUGCAGAACAGUGCUGGCCUAUCACAUCCAGUCCUAUACUGGUUUAGAUCCUGAUUAAGUAGCUGGGGAUAAGUACUGUAUGUUGAACGAGGCACACACACCUCCACAAACCAUGUGAUAUUUUGAGGUGUCCCCCAAGGCUCAAUUCUGGGUCCUUUAUUUCUUUUUUUAUUACAUAUGUUUUCGAGCAUUAAUCGUUAAAUGAUCACAAUCUCAAUUUAAAUACCUAUGCAAGCUUAUUGCUAAAUGACAACGAUUUGCCUGUUUCUAUUAAACCUUUGACAAAAUCACAUUGAAUAUUCAGAUCUGCGUUGAUGCUGCCGCUGACCCAGAGAGAGCAGUUGUCACGUAUGAAACAGCUUCAUAAACAGUCUUUUCAACCACACGGUAUCAUUAUUUCUGUCUUACAAUAAUUCAAAUUAUCACAAAAUUACUGGCUUAAAAGUUUAUGGUUUGGAUAUAAACACUGAUGUCUAAGGUGGCGAAUAAAAUAAAGUAAAACUCCUGUUGAAAGUAACUUGAGGAUUACAAUAAAAAUUGUGUCAAUUACAUCGUUACAACACUGUAAACAAUUAUUUUCAUGAUUUAUCAUAACAUUUUUUCUUUCGUUAAAUCACCUUAUAUAAUUAAUGUAGUUCAGAUAACAUGAUAUUUUGUGUUUCUGUUGAUUAAACCAAUCACCUUCAAUGAAAUCAAAAUUUCAAGGCAACCAGGUAACUUACUUUAAGUUAAACCAACAAUUCUUUUUUUUUUUUUACAGUGAGGUGGUGACAAGUGAUUGUUAAAAAAUGUGUUUGUCAUUGAAUCAUUCGUUUCAAAAAAGCUGAUUCAUCCAACAAUGAAAUAAUAUUGUUGAGUGAAUCAUUAAAUCAUACAUUCAAACCAAUU